rnacentral:lncRNA from 1 species
UUACACUUUGGUGUUUCCAAUUCAACUUCAGUUCCUAAUUAUCGCUGCCCUUUGUCACCAUCCCCAUCCUGGCUUUGGUAUGUGUGGUUUUAAAGACAGAGUCCUGCUUUGUAGCUGUGCUUAUUUAAAACUCACAAUCCUCCUGCCUCAGGCUCUCUCUUUUUCUCUCUCUCUCUAGAUUAAACCCCUAUCUGGAAAAUAAAAGAUUUCAUUUAUUUAAUGCAUGUGAACACACUGUAGCUGUCUUCAAACACACCAGAAGGGGACAUUGGAUCCCAUUACAGGUGGUCAUGAGCCACCAUGUGGCUUAGAAUUGCUGGGAAUUGAACUCAGGACCUCUGGAAGAGCAAUCAGUGCUCUUAACCACUGAGCCAUCUCUCCAGCCCCCAUGUCAGUCUCUUAAGUGCUGAGAGUACACAUUUGGCUUCUACAAUGUAUUUCACCAUACAUUAUGUUUAGUCUUCUUGGGGAGGGAGGUUCCUUGUUAGAAUUCAAGCUCUGGGUUUCCUUGCUGUUAUAUUGCUAGUGUAGCCACAUGUCACUUCCCCUGGUGUCACGGGUGCUCUGAAGUGUGUGGUCUUGAACAGCCAGAAGAUGGGCAAGUCGGGGCAUGAACGGAAGCAGAUCAGCAGGCGUGGGUGCACACAGUGUGGACGACCAUGGUGUCAGGUGGCUUGGGUCUGCGGGCUUUUGUGGGAGGCAAGACUUCUCAGAACAGCCUUGGGGGAGCAGUGAUGGUUACUCACCAAGACGCCUAUCUCAAAAUUAAUAAUAAUAAUAAUAAUGCUUUUAAAUAGAGAGCAGAAAAAAACAACUAUUUUUCAAUGUGCUGAGAAAACAAAACAAAACAAAAACUCACUUCUAUACCCAUUUCCAAGGCACAUUAUUGAGGCUUUAUGGAAAGUUGUCAUGGAAAGAACCACAGGGCCUGGAGUCCCCUGCAUGCACUUUAUAUGUGUGUGACUUUGGAAAUGACUGUGACAUCUCUGAGCCUUAUUUGUCUCACUUGAGAAGCAAAGGUGGGCACUUGUCCUGGUCUACAGGGAUGAUGCCAGGUGUCAGAAUGGAAUUAGAAACCAUACUCCUUUGCAGGUGUUCUCUGCAUGCCUGGAGGAUGAGUGGAGGUGAUUCGAAUAGUUGUCAUGGAUGAUGGUAAAGCCCAGGUCACCUGUUCAGGAAGUGGGAGGCCAUCUUCAUAUGGGGACACAACAAUACCCUGCAGAAGGAGUCAUAGACCUUGUCAAAAGAACAUAUCCUUCCCUUCCCAGGGCUCCAGGUUCUGAGAACCAUCCCCCCCCCCAAAUCCAGAGGCAACUAGGAUUGAUUAAAAUGAAACCCACAAGCCAGUCAGAGACUUGAAUGUCAAGACUUGCAAUGAUUUGCUUAUAGGCACAGUCUGACUGUCCCUUUAGUGCUAUCCCAGCACCCUGAGCCAGCUGUCUAGAAACCUGGACUCUGAUGUCACCUGUUGGUCACCCUCCUCUCUUAUGCACUAGCUGUGUGCACUAUCUUGUAGGAAUCUUCUCUGGUCUACACAGGGGCCCAAAGGGAUUCCUGGAGGGCUGCACCCCACACACACCAGUAAAGUGAUGGUGUGGGGCAGGAAGGCUGGGGCCACAUGACUUGAGCUACAGAUGGUUUCAGUGAACCUGAGUCCACUCUUCCCAGGGCCCAGAGAAUGGCUGAUAAGGGACACCAUCUGUGAAGGUAUCUCAUCUGUGGCUCCUUGGCGGAACAUGGCAAGCCUUCCAGACUGUUGACCUUCCAGCAUUACUAUUCCGAAGUGUCAAUCAAAGAUCCAACAACGCUGCUAAAUCGCAGUUUCCCAGGGCCCCACCAUCGGAGGUUUUUAGAACUGCUGCUGGGAAUAGGGUUGCGUUAGUUAAAGAUCUGGUGCUUUGCCUCUGAGUCCAGCUGUUGGCAGAGGUAACCGUGGCUUUAGAGGUUUAGGGCUUUGGAUGUUGGUGAAACGGAACAUUGACCCUGCUACAGAAUUGUGAAUGUUGUUUUGCUGUCUCUUCUGACACUCGGGAAAGCGGGACACCGGUUGUCGUGGUUGUUGUGUGCUAUUUGUGGACAGGGAACCUGUCCAAGAAGCUCCUCGGCUUAAGGAGAACCAACCAGGGUUCCUAAAUCAAUGUGCGAGCAUUGGCACAUGUGUCCCUUCCGUGGCUCCCACAUGCACCUGAGCUUCAGGUGGUGCGGUUGCCAGCCCCCCCACCGUACCCCCAAGCACCCCUGUGAGGGCUCUAAGGUCCCAGAGCUGAUCCCAGACCCUGUACAAGUGAAGGUUGGUACUGAGCCCAGUUGGGUGCUGUGGAGUGUGACAAGAAAUGGUUCAGAAAACCCGAGUGCCUCUCUGGAGACGAUUUAAUGAAGGCUGGGACCAGGAGACCCUGACUUUUGGGGGAGACAGACAUAUGGCUUUUCUAGGUGGGAACCACUUCUGGACCCAGAUUUCAGGUCCACUGUAACUACGAAUACUCCCAUCACAUCGGUACCCACCUCCGUGUCCUGCAAAGGAGGGGAAAUGCAGAGAGGUCGGCUCCCAGGGACUCAUUUUGAACUUCCUGGAUGGCAUAAGGGCAAGUGGUAACUUGACUUAAAAGAAACAGAGGAAUGGGGAACGGAUCUGAAAGCAACCAACCAGCACGGCUGUAUUCCACAGACAGUGCCUCCUGGUUACACGACUGUGUCUGCUUACAGCCCCCUCGCCCUCCUUUUUUUUAGUCUUACCUGUUUCACACCUUCUCAGGCUUGCAGAGGGGAGGCAGUGGAAGGACCCCUGCAAGAACUGGUGGGACCAACACAGUCCUUUGUCCUACCCUUGUGGUAGUGCCCAUCACGGUCAGCCCCACGCUAGGUCACCCCAGGAAGCAUUUUCAAAUGUCAGCAGGGCCAGCGGAGGGGCUAGGUGCCAUCUGUGAGGAUCUGUGUCUCCCCCCCCCCCCCCAGACCGGGUUUUAUUUUCUGCCUUCUCUCCGCUGGCCCAGCCAAGAGAGAGGAGAUGAUAUUCCCAACCCCCCUCAGACCACAUCCUUUUAACAUAAACAGCUGGGCACAGUGAUAGAGUUGAUUUCCUGGAUCCUUCUAGAAGAAAUGUGGAUAAGGAAAUGUCUGGAAAGGCCUCAAACAAACGUAGAUCCGUUACUCCCUGAGCUGGCCUUGGAUGCUGUAGCCACCCCCAAAUUUUGGAGGUAUAACUUAUACUUCACAUUUGAAGCUGGGGAAAGCUAACCACUCGAAAACGCUGCUCCAGGGGCCUCCCGUGGUCCUCAAGUCUCCAGUCCCCAGCAAGGCAGAAGGAAGAAAUCUCCUUUCUGUGUGGAAAUAGAAACACUCUCGUGGGUAAGUCGUGUAAUUUUUCUUUUUCUUUUUUUCUGUCUGUCCUUUCCUGUGUAGACUCAGUGGUUUCAUAUUAAAAAAAACUUAGCCCAAGGCAUGACACAGAGUAGGCACUUAGACUUUCCUCAUCUGGAACAUCAUUGUGGACUUCCUGGCUCCUGUCCCCCGCUGAUGCUCAUGGAGCCUGCCUUAGCUGUCCAAGCAGUCACCUCCCGCUUCUUUGACUCUGUCACAGGUGACACGAACUUUUCCUCCUUGAACUCCUCACGCUGCGAUUACCUACCU